UGGGGAAUUUUGGACAAUGGGCGAAAGCCUGAUCCAGCAAUGCCGCGUGUGUGAAGAAGGCCUUCGGGUUGUAAAGCACUUUUGUCCGGAAAGAAAUCCUUGGCUCUAAUACAGUCGGGGGAUGACGGUACCGAAAGAAUAAGCACCGGCUAACUACGUGCCAGCAGCCGCGGUAAUACGUAGGGUGCAAGCGUUAAUCGGAAUUACUGGGCGUAAAGCGUGCGCAGGCGGUUUGCUAAGACCGAUGUGAAAUCCCCGGGCUCAACCUGGGAACUGCAUUGGUGACUGGCAGGCUAGAGUAUGGCAGAGGGGGGUAGAAUUCCACGUGUAGCAGUGAAAUGCGUAGAGAUGUGGAGGAAUACCAAUGGCGAAAGGCAGCCCCCUGGGCCAAUACUGACGCUCAUGCACGAAAGCGUGGGGAGCAAAACAGGAUUAGAUACCCUGGUAGUCCACGCCCUAAAACGAUGUCAACUAGUUGUUGGGGAUUCAUUUCCUUAGUAACGUAGCUAACGCGUGAAGUUGACCGCCUGGGGAGUACGGUCGCAAGAUUAAAACUCAAAUGAAUUGACGGGGUCAUAGCUGUUUCCU
rnacentral:rRNA from 1 species